rnacentral:rRNA from 1 species
CAAGGCUGAGGUGUGAUGACGAGGCACUACGGUGCUGAAGUAACAAAUGCCCUGCUUCCAGGAAAAGCCUCUAAGCAUCAGGUAACAUCAAAUCGUACCCCAAACCGACACAGGUGGUCAGGUAGAGAAUACCAAGGCGCUUGAGAGAACUCGGGUGAAGGAACUAGGCAAAAUGGUGCCGUAACUUCGGGAGAAGGCACGCUGGUGUGUAGGUGAAGCCCCUGCGGGUGGAGCUGAGACCAGUCGAAGAUACCAGCUGGCUGCAACUGUUUAUUAAAAACACAGCACUGUGCAAACACGAAAGUGGACGUAUACGGUGUGACGCCUGCCCGGUGCCGGAAGGUUAAUUGAUGGGGUUAUCCGUAAGGAGAAGCUCUUGAUCGAAGCCCCGGUAAACGGCGGCCGUAACUAUAACGGUCCUAAGGUAGCGAAAUUCCUUGUCGGGUAAGUUCCGACCUGCACGAAUGGCGUAAUGAUGGCCAGGCUGUCUCCACCCGAGACUCAGUGAAAUUGAACUCGCUGUGAAGAUGCAGUGUACCCGCGGCAAGACGGAAAGACCCCGUGAACCUUUACUAUAGCUUGACACUGAACAUUGAGCCUUGAUGUGUAGGAUAGGUGGGAGGCUUUGAAGCGUGGACGCCAGUCUGCGUGGAGCCAACCUUGAAAUACCACCCUUUAAUGUUUGAUGUUCUAACGUUGGCCCCUGACCGGGGUUGCGGACAGUGUCUGGUGGGUAGUUUGACUGGGGCGGUCUCCUCCCAAAGCGUAACGGAGGAGCACGAAGGUUAGCUAAUCCUGGUCGGACAUCAGGAGGUUAGUGCAAUGGCAUAAGCUAGCUUGACUGCGAGCGUGACGGCGCGAGCAGGUGCGAAAGCAGGUCAUAGUGAUCCGGUGGUUCUGAAUGGAAGGGCCAUCGCUCAACGGAUAAAAGGUACUCCGGGGAUAACAGGCUGAUACCGCCCAAGAGUUCAUAUCGACGGCGGUGUUUGGCACCUCGAUGUCGGCUCAUCACAUCCUGGGGCUGAAGUAGGUCCCAAGGGUAUGGCUGUUCGCCAUUUAAAGUGGUACGCGAGCUGGGUUUAGAACGUCGUGAGACAGUUCGGUCCCUAUCUGCCGUGGGCGCUGGAGAAUUGAGGGGGGCUGCUCCUAGUACGAGAGGACCGGAGUGGACGCAUCACUGGUGUUCGGGUUGUCAUGCCAAUGGCACUGCCCGGUAGCUAAAUGCGGAAGAGAUAAGUGCUGAAAGCAUCUAAGCACGAAACUUGCCCCGAGAUGAGUUCUCCCUGAGACUUUAAGUCUCCUGAAGGAACGUUGAAGACGACGACGUUGAUAGGCCGGGUGUGUAAGCGCAGCGAUGCGUUGAGCUAACCGGUACUAAUGAACCGUGAGGCUUAACCUUACAACGCCGAAG